rnacentral:rRNA from 1 species
CAAGUUCUGCCCAGGACACUCACGGGCUUUGUUUGGUGGCGACUGGCCCUGCGCAGGGCAGGCUCGGCUACGCUGUCUGCGCUGCGAGGAGCCGCCGGCUGCGCGCGGCUGGCUGGCUCCUCUCGGCGGCGGCGUUGCGCCUGCGGCCGCCUGCGCUUGGAGCAAGAAAUGGCAGCGUGCGCCCGGCGCUGCGGCGCCAAGGCGGCACGUGCCGCCCUGCUGGCGUGCCGCGCAAGCUGGGCCGUUGCCCAGCGCCACAAAAUGACUCCCUCCUCACGUGCGUGAGGCGCUCGGCGCCUCGGCUCGCGGUACGCGCGUACUGCGCAGGGGCGCCUGGGCGCCUCUUGCUACUUAGAGGGGCAAGCGAGNGNRCUCAGGGUG